GGACGGGUAGCCUACUCUCAUCAGAGAGGUCUCUCUGCGUCCUCCCCCAACAGGACGGGUAGCCUACUCUCAUCAGAGAGGUCUCUCUGCGUCCUCCCCCAACAGGACGGGUAGCCUACUCUCAUCAGAGAGGUCUCUCUGCGUCCUCCCCCAACAGGACGGGUAGCCUACUCUCAUCAGAGAGGUCUUUGAAAUGUUGAAGAAGUGUUUCACAUUUGGGGAAAUGACAUUCUCUAAUUGUUUUAUAUUUUUUACAUUUUUGUCAGGAAAUGCAGCUCUGUCUCAGGUUCUGCUGUUGUGCAGUGGUUGCACAGCCUUUCCUCUACAUGGAGCCAGGUUUUCCUGUGUCUACCCUUCUCAAUGGCAAGGCUGUGCUCACUGAGCCUGUACUUUGUCAAGGUUUUUCUAAGGUUUUGAUCAGUAACCAUGGUCACGGUGUGCUGUCGAUUUAGGGCCAGAUAACACUGCAUUUUGCUUUGUGUUUGCUUAUUGGGAAACACAAGCACAAUGUAGUUUUGUUUUGACUGUGUUGUAAUUUGGUUUAUUCUGAUUGAUUGGAUGUUCUGGUCCUGAGGCUUCAGUGUGUUAGCAGAACAAGUUUGUGAACUCAGCCCCAGGACCAGCUGGAUGUGGGGACUCUUUUCUUUGCUCAGCUCUUGGUAUUGCAGGGCUUGGUAAUGAUAUGAGAGGGGGUCACUGUAUUUUAGAUGUUUCCAAAACAUAAUUGCUCUUUUUUGAGUUUUUAUUAUUGAUGGAUAUUGGCCUAAUUCUGCC
ensembl:lncRNA